GACACAUCACUGAUAAUUCAAUGUCAAGAUGACAUUGAAACAGUGCAGGACUUCUUGACACCAUCAGUGCACUGUUCAGUAAUCACAUAAUUGAUGAAUGUCAUCAUCAAAAUACUACUGAGAUACUAAAUGAGACAUUCCAAGUACAAUGUAAAUAUCUUCUUGUCUGAGAUUCAUACACUAAGCAACUGUCAUUUUCAUCACUAUUCAGUAUUGAAAUAUCAUGCAAUGCUGUCUUUUGAACUGUCAGAAGUCUGACAAUAGUGUAAUUAUUGAAAUUCUCUUGUAAAAUCAGC
rnacentral:sRNA from 1 species